GACGAACGCUGGCGGCGUGCUUAACACAUGCAAGUCGAGCGAUGAAGUUUCUUCGGAAAUGGAUUAGCGGCGAACGGGUGAGGAACACGUGAAGAAUCUGCCCUCCACUUUGGGAUAACACCGGGAAACCGGUGCUAAUACCGGAUAUGAAACCUGCGGGCAUCCGCGGGUUUGGAAAGUUUUUCGGUUGAAGAUGAUCUCGCGGCCUAUCAGCUUGUUGGUGAGGUAAUGGCUCACCAAGGCGACGACGGGUAGCCGGCCUGAGAGGGCGACCGGCCACACUGGGACUGAGACACGGCCCAGACUCCUACGGGAGGCAGCAGUGGGGAAUAUUGGGCAAUGGAGGAAACUCUGACCCAGCGACGCCGCGUGCGGGAUGAAGGCCUCGGUUGUAACCGCUUUCAGCAGGGAGAAGCGAAAGUGACGGUACCUGCAGAAGAAGCACCGGCUAACUAUGUG
rnacentral:rRNA from 1 species